GACGAACGCUGGCGGCGUGCCUAAUACAUGCAAGUAGAACGCUGAAGGAGGAGCUUGCUCUUCUGGAUGAGUUGCGAACGGGUGAGUAACGCGUAGGUAACCUGCCUGGUAGCGGGGGAUAACUAUUGGAAACGAUAGCUAAUACCGCAUAAGAGUAGAUGUUGCAUGAUAUUUGCUUAAAAGGUGCAAUUGCAUCACUACCAGAUGGACCUGCGUUGUAUUAGCUAGUUGGUGGGGUAACGGCUCACCAAGGCGACGAUACAUAGCCGACCUGAGAGGGUGAUCGGCCACACUGGGACUGAGACACGGCCCAGACUCCUACGGGAGGCAGCAGUAGGGAAUCUUCGGCAAUGGACGGAAGUCUGACCGAGCAACGCCGCGUGAGUGAAGAAGGUUUUCGGAUCGUAAAGCUCUGUUGUAAGAGAAGAACGAGUGUGAGAGUGGAAAGUUCACACUGUGACGGUAUCUUACCAGAAAGGGACGGCUAACUACGUG
rnacentral:rRNA from 1 species